ensembl:lncRNA
CAAACACAAGACAAAAGCUCAGCGCACAGAUUCCGGGUACACAUCAAAUCUAAGAUCUAAAGUCCUUGCCUUCUUUCCAUUAAAAAAAAAAAAUUUAGCAACACUCCAAAAUAUUUUUAAAGUACAUUUGAUACAUAGACGCCGGCACAGCUUCCCUGUGGAACCCGGGUAAGGAAUUUCCCUGCAAACCGACACAACCCGAGGAGAGGACAGACAUGCAAGGCAGCGAAGAGGAGGACCACUGACCAUGGCCAGGUCCCGCGCCAGCCCCGCCGUCGUGGGUCCCUUACCUUGUGGCUUUUCCCCCCCGGGGGACACCUGACGUUGUUGGAGGCUCCCGCUGUCUGAUUCAUGUCCGGAGGAACUUGGGAACCGAUGCUCUAGAACCUCUCCAAGUUCCUCGGCGCCUGGAGGGUGGCGAGGGGCGCGUCUCCCGGAGGCGAGGUGGGUCCUGGCAGUCCAGCCGUGUCCGGGCGGCGUCCCCUACGCGGCAGGUUUCCGAGGGACCCCUCGCCCAGGGAAGCUGAGCACUGCAAGCCCCGGAGCCGAAGAAGGAGAAGCAGCUGCUGGGAUCCCAGAGGGAGCCGGGCCGGCGCCGGCGGCUCUGAGGGCGCUGUGCCCGGGGCUGCCUUCUCCGGGAAGCAGUCCAGGACUGUCCGGACCUGAGCACCAGCAGAUCCUAAAGGAGCUCCUGGGAGAGGCGAGGAGGGCAGAACCUAUAAAGACGGGAGUUUUUUUUCCCGAAAACGGCCCUGAGGUGCCACUGACACUUGCCUUGGAGAAUGUAGACCCCCCCUGAGCACUGCUGGUGUGGACAUCAGUUCUUCUCUGACAGAAGACACCAGGACGAAUUCAUAGGUGCUUCCAGUCUUCACUCUUUUCCUGAAUUUCCAAGGAUCUCUACAGUCAGC